CCCCGCCCUCCACACUCUCCUUCAAACACAUUAACACGACAAUGAAAGUAUUCUGGCAAGUUUGGGUUUGUGGAUGUGUCAUGGGUUGAUAAAUUUGCUGAGAAUUCAUUCUGAAUAUUUGCAGAUACAUAAAACUCCAGGUGUAACUCCAAGCAAAACAUGAUGAAAGAGGGAAUUUGGAUAAACCAUGGAAUGAUGACAUCACAUUGAGCACCAUCUGGUAUAAACAUUUUUGCUUUCUGCAGUGACCAGAUGAAGGAAAUAUGGUGCCGUGUGCUUCUUCAGUGAUUAAUUCAGGAAAGCCUUUGCUGAGCUGAAAUCCAAAAUAGGAAGAACCCACCUUCCACAUGUUCAAGAAGCUUGUGAUCCCAGGGAUGACACUGCCCUUUUCCUCUGAAGGAAAGAAGUUUCCCCUGACCAUAAUGCCAAAGCUACAAACACUUACAUACCUCCAUAAUUUUGCACUGAACUCUGCUCACAUAGUACACAAUAAUUUCUGCACUACUUUGUUCCUGUUCCAAAUUCUAGUGGCUUGAAAUCCAAAAUAGAGGAAGUUAAAUCAUAGCAGUUGUACACUUUAGAGAAACUUUGAAUUUGGCUACUAGAGAUUUUCUAAGGUAUUGCUUUUCUUAAUUUAUAUGAAAACUAUUGAGCUAGGUUCUAGAUUAAGUGCUGGUGAUUCAGACAUGAGUAAGUCAUGAUGCCACCUCUGGAGUGUUUCAGGGAAGACAGUUACAUAAAAACUAAGCUGUAAUAGAAUUUAAUAAGUCCUUUAAUAGAGGUGCAGAGUUCUGUGGGAACGUAGAAGGAAGAAUAAUUGCUUCUUCAGUUUCAAGGAGGACUUCACAGGGCAGAAGGCAUUUGGGCAAGUCUUGAAGGAUAAGCCAGGACUCCCCAAGUGGGGUGAGGGCACUUGAGGUGGAGAACAGAUGAAUAAAAGCAGCAAAUGAAUAAAAGCAUCAAAGUGCAGUGUUGGUUGUUACUUCUUUUUAUUCCAGAUGAGACAAGCCAGGAAUCAGGGCAUACAGGGAUCUG
rnacentral:lncRNA from 1 species